rnacentral:rRNA from 1 species
AACGCGUGGGAAUCUGCCCUUGGGUUCGGAAUAACUCAGAGAAAUUUGAGCUAAUACCGGAUGAUAGACGUAAGUCCAAAGAUUUAUCGCCCAAGGAUGAGCCCGCGUAGGAUUAGCUAGUUGGUGGGGUAAAGGCCUACCAAGGCGACGAUCCUUAGCUGGUCUGAGAGGAUGAUCAGCCACACUGGGACUGAGACACGGCCCAGACUCCUACGGGAGGCAGCAGUGGGGAAUAUUGGACAAUGGGCGAAAGCCUGAUCCAGCAAUGCCGCGUGAGUGAUGAAGGCCUUAGGGUUGUAAAGCUCUUUUACCCGGGAUGAUAAUGACAGUACCGGGAGAAUAAGCUCCGGCUAACUCCGUGCCAGCAGCCGCGGUAAUACGGAGGGAGCUAGCGUUGUUCGGAAUUACUGGGCGUAAAGCGCACGUAGGCGGCUUUGUAAGUCAGACGUGAAAGCCUGGAGCUUAACUCCAGAACUGCCUUUGAGACUGCAUCGCUUGAAUCCAGGAGAGGUGAGUGGAAUUCCGAGUGUAGAGGUGAAAUUCGUAGAUAUUCCGAAGAACACCAGUGGCGAACGCGGCUCACUGGACUGGUAUUGACGCUGAAGUGCGAGACCGUGGGGAGCAAACAGGAU